UCGCCGGCGGCAGGGGGGGCGGUUGGCGGCGCGCGGACCGGCGAUGGAAGCGUCUGGAAGGAGCUGGAACUUUCCCGAUGGCGGCGGGCGCAGAGCGAAUGCAGAUUCCAUACAUUGAAGAGUAAUUUUCAUGAUAUUGCUAACUGCCAAGACUCAAGAUUUCAUUACUCAUGCAGAAGGGACAGGACAUUGAAGAGAUAAACCCUGAACUUCAACACUACUCGUUGUCUACCAAGCAUCUUUGGAUAUCCUAAAGAUUAUGUUGCCAAAUAUUGAGGUGACCACUUAUUUCUAAGCAAUGACCAUCGGUUCCGGAAAGUCCAGCAGGAGGAACAUCCUCUCCGAGUCCUCCUGAGAACAAUUCUCAGGAUUUUAUAUGUGCUUCCUGGCAAGUUGAGUAUUUCCAACACUUUCCGUUACAACUUUCAAAACUGUUUCCUGGAACACCGUGGUCAAUAGGAAUUUCAUG